ACGGCGAGUGAAGCGGCAACAGCUCAAAUUUGAAAUCUGGCCUUUGGUCCGAAUUGUAAUUUGUAGAGGAUGAUUUUGGUGCGGUACUUUCCGAGUUCCCUGGAACGGGACGCCUUAGAGGGUGAGAGCCCCGUACGGUUGGAUGCCUAGCCUUUGUAAAUCUCCUUCGACGAGUCGAGUAGUUUGGGAAUGCUGCUCUAAAUGGGAGGUAAAUUUCUUCUAAAGCUAAAUACUAGCCAGAGACCGAUAGCGCACAAGUAGAGUGAUCGAAAGAUGAAAAGCACUUUGAAAAGAGGGUUAAACAGCACGUGAAAUUGUUGAAAGGGAAGCGCUUAUGACCAGACUUUUUCUAGGCGGAUCAUCCGGUGUUCUCACCGGUGCACUUCGCCUAGUUUAGGCCAGCAUCGGUUCUUAUAGGGAGAUAAAAGCUUCAGGAAUGUGACUCCCUCGGGAGUGUUAUAGCCUGUUGUAUAAUAUCCUUACGGGGACCGAGGUACGCGCUCUGCAAGGAUGCUGGCAUAAUGGUCAUCAGCGACCCGUCUUGAAACACGGACCAAGGAGUCGAACAUUUGUGCGAGUGUUUGGGUGUUAAACCCUCACGCGUAAUGAAAGUGAACGGAGGUGAGAGCCAUUUGGUGCAUCAUCGACCGAUCCUGAUGUCUUCGGAUGGAUUUGAGUAGGAGCAUAACUGUUCGGACCCGAAAGAUGGUGAACUAUGCGUGGAUAGGGUGAAGCCAGAGGAAACUCUGGUGGAGGCUCGCAGCGGUUCUGACGUGCAAAUCGAUCGUCAAAUCUGCGCAUGGGGGCGAAAGACUAAUCGA
rnacentral:rRNA from 1 species